AUAUCAAUAAGCGGAGGAAAAGAAACCAACAGGGAUUGCCCCAGUAACGGCGAGUGAAGCGGCAAGAGCUCAAAUUUGAAAUCUGGCCUCCCCCGGGGGCCCGAGUUGUAAUUUGCAGAGGAUGCUUCGGGUGCGGCCGCCGUCUAAGUUCCUUGGAACAGGACGUCAGAGAGGGUGAGAAUCCCGUCUUGGGCGGGCGGUCCGCGCCCGUGUGAAGCUCCUUCGACGAGUCGAGUUGUUUGGGAAUGCAGCUCUAAGCGGGUGGUAAAUUUCAUCUAAAGCUAAAUAUUGGCCGGAGACCGAUAGCGCACAAGUAGAGUGAUCGAAAGGUUAAAAGCACCUUGAAAAGGGAGUUAAACAGCACGUGAAAUUGUUGAAAGGGAAGCGCUUGCGGCCAGACUCGGGGGCGGGGUUCAGCGGGUGCUCGUCGCCCGUGUAUUCCUCGUUUCCCGGGCCAGCAUCAGUUUCGACGGCCGGUCAAAGGCCCCCGGAAUGUGUCGUCUCUCGGGACGUCUUAUAGCCGGGGGUGCAAUGCGGCCCGUCGGGACUGAGGAACGCGCUUCGGCUCGGAUGCUGGCGUAAUGGCCGUAAGCGGC
rnacentral:rRNA from 2 species